rnacentral:rRNA from 1 species
UACGAAGGGGGCUAGCGUUGCUCGGAAUCACUGGGCGUAAAGGGUGCGUAGGCGGUUCUUUAAGUCAGGGGUGAAAUCCUGGAGCUCAACUCCAGAACUGCCUUUGAUACUGAAGAUCUUGAGUUCGGGAGAGGUGAGUGGAACUGCGAGUGUAGAGGUGAAAUUCGUAGAUAUUCGCAAGAACACCAGUGGCGAAGGCGGCUCACUGGCCCGGUACUGACGCUGAGAUACGAAAGCGUGGGGAGCAAACAGG